rnacentral:rRNA from 1 species
UACGAAGGGGGCUAGCGUUGCUCGGAAUCACUGGGCGUAAAGCGCACGUAGGCGGACUCUUAAGUCGGUGGUGAAAUCCUGGAGCUCAACUCCAGAACUGCCUUCGAUACUGGGAGUCUCGAGUCCGGGAGAGGUGAGUGGAACUGCGAGUGUAGAGGUGAAAUUCGUAGAUAUUCGCAAGAAACACCAGUGGCGAAGGCGGCUCACUGGCCCGGUACUGACGCUGAGGAGCGAAAGCGUGGGGAGCGAACAGG